AAAUUGAAGAGUUUGAUCAUGGCUCAGAUUGAACGCUGGCGGCAGGCCUAACACAUGCAAGUCGAGCGGAAACGAGUURUCUGAACCUUCGGGGAACGAUAACGGCGUCGAGCGGCGGACGGGUGAGUAAUGCCUAGGAAAUUGCCCUGAUGUGGGGGAUAACCAUUGGAAACGAUGGCUAAUACCGCAUGAUGCCUACGGGCCAAAGAGGGGGACCUUCGGGCCUCUCGCGUCAGGAUAUGCCUAGGUGGGAUUAGCUAGUUGGUGAGGUAAGGGCUCACCAAGGCGACGAUCCCUAGCUGGUCUGAGAGGAUGAUCAGCCACACUGGAACUGAGACACGGU
rnacentral:rRNA from 1 species